UACGGAGGAUGCGAGCGUUAUCCGGAUUUAUUGGGUUUAAAGGGUGCGUAGGCUGUGAGGUAAGUCAGCGGUCAAAGCCCGGGGCUCAACCCCGGCCCGCCGUUGAAACUGGCAGUCUCGAGUUGGAGAGAAGUAUGCGGAAUGCGUGGUGUAGCGGUGAAAUGCAUAGAUAUCACGCAGAACUCCGAUUGCGAAGGCAGCAUACCGGCGCCCGACUGACGCUGAAGCACGAAAGCGUGGGUAUCGAACAGG
rnacentral:rRNA from 1 species